GAGUUUGAUCCUGGCUCAGAUUGAACGCUGGCGGCAUGCCUUACACAUGCAAGUCGAACGGCAGCACGGGAGCAAUCCUGGUGGCGAGUGGCGAACGGGUGAGUAAUAUAUCGGAACGUGCCCAGUCGUGGGGGAUAACGCAGCGAAAGCUGUGCUAAUACCGCAUACGAUCUAUGGAUGAAAGCGGGGGACUCGCAAGGGCCUCGCGCGAUUGGAGCGGCCGAUAUCAGAUUAGCUAGUUGGCGGGGUAAAAGCCCACCAAGGCGACGAUCUGUAGCUGGUCUGAGAGGACGACCAGCCACACUGGAACUGAGACACGGUCCAGACUCCUACGGGAGGCAGCAGUGGGGAAUUUUGGACAAUGGGCGCAAGCCUGAUCCAGCAAUGCCGCGUGCAGGAUGAAGGCCUUCGGGUUGUAAACUGCUUUUGUACGGAACGAAACGGUCCUUUCUAAUACGAGGGGCUAAUGACGGUACCGUAAGAAUAAGCACCGGCUAACUACGUGCCAGCAGCCGCGGUAAUACGUAGGGUGCGAGCGUUGAUCGGAAUUACUGGGCGUAAAGCGUGCGCAGGCGGUUAUAUAAGACAGAUGUGAAAUCCCCGGGCUCAACCUGGGACCUGCAUUUGUGACUGUAUAGCUAGAGUACGGUAGAGGGGGGAUGGAAUUCCGCGUGUAGCAGUGAAAUGCGUAGAUAUGCGGAGGAACACCGAUGGCGAAGGCAAUCCCCUGGACCUGUACUGACGCUCAUGCACGAAAGCGUGGGGAGCAAACAGGAUUAGAUACCCUGGUAGUCCACGCCCUAAACGAUGUCAACUGGGUUGUUGG
rnacentral:rRNA from 1 species